AAUCAACGCUGGCGGCGUGCCUAACACAUGCAAGUCGAACGCGAAAGUCCCGAAAGGGAUUAGUAGAGUGGCAAACGGGUGAGUAACGCGUGGGUGACCUGCCUUCGAGCGGGGGAUAACGUUCCGAAAGGGACGCUAAUACCGCGUAAUAUCCUGCCUUUCAAGAGGUGGAGAUCAAAGCUGGGGAUCGCAAGACCCGGCGCUCGAAGAGGGGCCCGCGUCCGAUUAGCUAGUUGGUGAGGUAACGGCUCACCAAGGCGACGAUCGGUA
rnacentral:rRNA from 1 species